rnacentral:rRNA from 1 species
UACGUAGGGUGCAAGCGUUGUCCGGAAUUAUUGGGCGUAAAGAGCUCGUAGGCGGUUUGUCGCGUCUGCUGUGAAAUCCCGAGGCUCAACCUCGGGCCUGCAGUGGGUACGGGCAGACUAGAGUGCGGUAGGGGAGAUUGGAAUUCCUGGUGUAGCGGUGGAAUGCGCAGAUAUCAGGAGGAGCACCGAUGGCGAAGGCAGAUCUCUGGGCCGUAACUGACGCUGAGGAGCGAAAGCGUGGGGAGCGAACAGG